UGUGCUUAUUUGAAUCACGUUCUUUGUCAGACUCAAUGUUUCACAUGCUUCAAGGCAGGAAGGGUUUGAGCCAUCUUACUGCUUCAAAGCUCUUCCCCUCAACAAGAAGAUAUUGUCGAGUAGGGGUGAUACUGGAGUUUCCAUAACCGAUAAGAGGGAAACUACAGUCCCAAUGGAAAUUAAUUUCCAAACAGAGAAUUGGUUUCAUCAUAAUCCUCCUGUUGAACUUUUCAGCAAGGUACGCAUUUACUUUCUAGAUAAUUAUGAUGCUCUUUCUGACUCUUGUACACCUAGCUGUUUUGAGGAGCCAAUUUUUAACGGCUUGAUUUUUUUAAUUUUUUGACUAACAGACUCCAAACGGAGCUAUUAUUCAUUCGUCCUUGUAGAUCUUUAGUUUGCUUCUAGAUCCUUUUACUUGGUGCAUGUUGGGCUAAGGUUAACGAGGUCACUUAUAAGCAUACAAGUAAAGUUUAUAAUAUCUGUGUUAUUGGUAAAAAUUGUACAUUACUUAUUUUGACAAUAACAUAAGAGUUAUUUUGCAAACAAGUAACUGUUAUUUUCGUAUUUAAGGAAAAUACUGUAUACAACCAUGUUUGAAAACAAAAGCUCUCUCUGGCACCUGAACCUCGUCAAUUACU